UCCUAGUACGAGAGGACCGGAGUGGACAGAUCUCUGGUGUACCGGUUAUCACGCCAGUGGUAUUGCCGGGUAGCUAAAUCUGGAAGAGAUAACCGCUGAAAGCAUCUAAGCGGGAAACUCGCCUUGAGAUAAGAUUUCCCUUAGGCCUUGAGCCUUCUAAAGAGUCGUUCGAGACUAGGACGUUGAUAGGCUGGGUGUGGAAGCGCAGUAAUGCGUUAAGCUAACCAGUACUAAUUGCUCGUGAGGCUUGAUCCU
rnacentral:rRNA from 1 species